CUCUCGGCAACGGAUAUCUCGGCUCUCGCAUCGAUGAAGAACGUAGCGAAAUGUGAUACCUGGUGUGAAUUGCAGAAUCCCGUGAACCAUCGAGUCUUUGAACGCAAGUUGCGCCCGAGGCCAUCCGGCCAAGGGCACGCCUGCCUGGGCGUCAC
rnacentral:rRNA from 1 species